rnacentral:lncRNA from 1 species
CAGUGAUCAGGAAGACAAAGCUGAUUGACUUCCAGCUGCAUCUGAGCCACCGUAGUUACUGCAGAUGUCACAUUUAGCACUGGAUUGUGAAAUGCUCGAAAACUGGAACCAUAGGAGCAUUAUUUAAUGCUAAGUGUUAUCCACAUCAUAUCUGAAGCUUGAACAUGCCAGGAAAACAUCCUUCACAUUCUGCAACUAAUCUAUCUGAGCUUUCAGGAUCAAUCGUGAAUUGGCUGGGGAACUGUUUAUAUUCAUAUUGUAAACCUGUGUUACUGUUGUGUCCUUCUUGUGAACCAGACCCCUCGUGGGUUGCCCUGCUGCAGAAAUGGGUCAGACAAGUUACAGGAACUGUGGAUUGGUUGGAUGGGGAUCCACCUAGCAACACCACCACACUAAUGCUGGAUUGGGAAAUUUGCCCUACAGGAGUUUGUCUUGAUUAA